ACACCAGCAGACCCGCCGCCAUCGUCUGCCGCGCACACUCUAGGACCUUCUCCGAUUUAUCAGAAUGGGAGAGGAUAUUAAUCCCCUGGCUAUCCCCAUGGCAUGGACGAGUCCAUUGAUUCUGGAGGAGUUCUUACAACUUGGUCAAGGCCAAAAGACAGCCAAUUGCAGAGCCUGGAUUAGAACCCAGUGUUUUGUGAUAAAUCUUUUCCUGGGGAGAGAAAACACACAUCUGCUCGUGCCUGUUAGGGAUCGCAUGGCAGUCCAAAGCAUGGAUACCGCCAAAGUCCAACGUGGUGAACCAGAGCUUCCUUCUAUCGAUCUGGAGGAAACCAUUAUACAAGACACAGGCCAUCCUGCUGGGAUAUACCAGCGAAGCCCGUGAAGGGGAAAGCCGUGCAGGCCAGGCUUUGCUGCGCAUCAGAGAACGCUGGCGGAUCCGAGGAUCCCCGUUUUGUUGAAAUAGAAUUGUAAAAAUAAAGGGGGGGCAGUUUAAUCCUGUUAAA
rnacentral:lncRNA from 1 species